UACGGAGGGAGCUAGCGUUGUUCGGAAUUACUGGGCGUAAAGCGCACGUAGGCGGCUUUGUAAGUUAGAGGUGAAAGCCCGGAGCUCAACUCCGGAAUUGCCUUUAAGACUGCAUCGCUUGAAUCCAGGAGAGGUGAGUGGAAUUCCGGAGUGUAGAGGUGAAAUUCGUAGAUAUUCGGAAGAACACCAGUGGCGAAGGCGGCUCACUGGACUGGUAUUGACGCUGAGGUGGCGAAAGCGUGGGGAGCAAACAGGG
rnacentral:rRNA from 1 species